ACCUCGGCCAACGGCAGCAGUGCCAUAUGAAGUAGGCAGCGGGCAGUGGAGAAAUUAGGCUUUCAGGCACCCAUUAAUGAAAUUCCUCCACCGGCGGCGUAUUCUGAAGUAAACGGCGAAGAAUUUGGCUCUGGUAAUGGAGCGGUGAUCUCUUUCUUGACCGUUGGCCAUUGCCCAUUAGCUGUGUGGAAGUUGUAUGAGAACAGUUUGAAAGUCUAAGAAUUCAAAAAAAAAAAAAGGACCGUUGAUUCAUGAAUACCUCGGCCAACGGCAGCAGUGCCAUAUGAAGUAGGCAGCGGGCAGUGGAGAAAUUAGGCUUUCAGGCACCCAUUAAUGAAAUUCCUCCACUGGCGGCGUAUUCUGAAGUAAACGGCGAAGCAAUGGAGCGGUGAUCUCUUUCUUGACUGUUGGCCAUUGCCCAUUAGCUGUGUGGAAGUUGUAUGAGAACAGUUUGAAAGUCUAAGCAAAAAAAAAAAAAAAAGGACCGUUGAUUCAUGAAUACCUCGGCCAACGGCAGCAGUGCCAUAUGAAGUAGGCAGCGGGCAGUGGAGAAAUUAGGCUUUCAGGCACCCAUUAAUGAAAUUCCUCCACUGGCGGCGUAUUCUGAAGUAAACGGCGAAGCAAUGGAGCGGUGAUCUCUUUCUUGACUGUUGGCCAUUGCCCAUUAGCUGUGUGGAAGUUGUAUGAGAACAGUUUGAAAGUCUAAGAAUUAAAAAAAAGACCGUUGAUUCAUGAAUACCUCGGCCAACGGCAGCAGUGCCAUAAGAAGUAGGCAGCGGGCAGUGGAGAAAUUAGGCUUUCAGGCACCCAUUAAUGAAAUUCCUCCACCGGCGGCGUAUUCUGAAGUAAACGGCGAAGAAUUUGGCUCUGGUAAUGGAGCGG
rnacentral:lncRNA from 1 species